UACGUAGGGGGCAAGCGUUGUCCGGAUUUAUUGGGCGUAAGGAGCGUGUAGGCGGCCAGGUAGGUCUGCUGUGAAAACUCGAGGCUUAACCUCGAGAUGUCGGCGGAAACCAUCUGGCUAGAGUCCGGAAGAGGAGAAUGGAAUUCCCGGUGUAGCGGUGAAAUGCGCAGAUAUCGGGAAGAACACCCGUGGCGAAGGCGGUUCUCUGGGACGGUACUGACGCUGAGACGCGAAAGCGUGGGGAGCGAACAGGAUUG
rnacentral:rRNA from 1 species